AUUGAACGCUGGCGGCAUGCCUUACACAUGCAAGUCGAACGGUAACAGGUUAAGCUGACGAGUGGCGAACGGGUGAGUAAUGUAUCGGAACGUGCCCAGUCGUGGGGGAUAACUGCUCGAAAGAGCAGCUAAUACCGCAUACGACCUGAGGGUGAAAGCGGGGGAUCGCAAGACCUCGCGCGAUUGGAGCGGCCGAUAUC
rnacentral:rRNA from 1 species